rnacentral:rRNA from 1 species
UACGUAGGGUGCGAGCGUUGUCCGGAAUUAUUGGGCGUAAAGAGCUCGUAGGCGGUCUGUCGCGUCGGUCGUGAAAACUUGGGGCUUAACCCUGAGCUUGCGGUCGAUACGGGCAUGACUGGAGUUCGGCAGGGGAGACUGGAAUUCCUGGUGUAGCGGUGAAAUGCGCAGAUAUCAGGAGGAACACCGGUGGCGAAGGCGGGUCUCUGGGCCGAUACUGACGCUGAAGCGCGAAAGCUAGGGGAGCAAACGGG